rnacentral:rRNA from 1 species
AGCAUAUUAAUAAGGGGAGGAAAAGAAACUAACAAGGAUUCCNCCAGUAACGGCGAGUGAAGCGGGAAGAGCUCAAUUUGAGAAUCGAUUACCUAAGCGGGUCAUCGAGUUGUAGCCUAUAGACGUACUAUCAGCUGAAACCUGGGUAUAAGUUCUUUGGAAUGAGGCGCUAUAAAGGGUGAGAGCCCCGUAUAUGGCCCAAAGCUUUCAGCGUACGAUGUAUGUUCUUCGAGUCGAGUUGUUUGGGAUUGCAGCUCUAAAUGGGUCGUAAGUUUGAUCUAAAGCUAAAUAAUGGCGAGAGACCGAUAGCGAACAAGUACCGUGAGGGAAAGAUGAAAAGAACUUUGAAAAGGGAGUUAAAAGUACUUGAAAUUGCUAAGAGGGAAGCGCUGUCAACCAGUGAUAUAUGUCGUUCAUCGCUGUCUGCCCCCGUGGCUGUCGCGUGCAGUUGGUUAACUCUGCUAGCGGCAUCGAAAGGAGGGUAGGCGGUUUAGGACGGCGUGUCAGUCAAGAUCCGUUCGAGCGGUGGGAGAAGGUCGGGGGAAAGGUAGGAUACUUCGGUAUCUGUUAUAGUCCCGUGACUCUACCUCGGCUUGGACGGAGGAAGAAAUAGUGCGCCGCUUGCGGCUUAGUCCCGCGCUCCUAGAGUUCCAACUGCCUUCAUAGCAAUGCUAUGCUGGUAGCGAAGAGCUCUACUGGGCGUGACGACUCUAUGUGCUAUCACGAUCUUGUACGAAAUGGUUGUCAUCGACCCGUC